rnacentral:rRNA from 1 species
UACGUAGGGGGCAAGCGUUGUCCGGAAUCAUUGGGCGUAAAGAGCGCGUAGGCGGCCCUGUAAGUCCGCUGUGAAAGUCAAGGGCUCAACCCUUGGAUGCCGGUGGAUACUGCAGGGCUAGAGUCCGGAAGAGGCGAGUGGAAUUCCUGGUGUAGCGGUGAAAUGCGCAGAUAUCGAGAGGAACACCUGAGGUGAAGACGGGUUGCUGGGCCGACACUGACGCUGACAGCGCGAAAGCCAGGGGAGCAAACGGG